AUGCUCGCCGAGGCGGAGGCCGGCCUCGCGCUUGAGGGGAUCGUGGCCGCGGAGGUCGCGGACGAGGGCGAGCUGAGGGACACAUUUGCGGUGUUUGACGCUGACGGGGACGGGAGGAUCUCCGCCAAGGAGCUCCGUGCCGUGUUGGCCUCCCUCGGCGACGAGCGGUGUUCCGUCGAGGACUGCCGCCGCAUGAUCGGCGGCGUCGACACCGACGGCGACGGCUUCGUCUGCUUCAACGAGUUUACGCGCAUGAUGAUGCUUGCGCCGUGA
rnacentral:rRNA from 1 species